CUGACAAACACACAGAGAGACUGGAGGCCAAAGUGAGAAACAUAAAAUUGUAUGGCUCCUCAUUUCAUUGCCUGAAACCGAGAAACUGGUUAAGUGAUGAGGUUAUUGAUGCAUAUUUGAGCUGUGUGGUCGAGAAAGCAGAUGGAAAGGUACAAGCCAUCUCAUCAGUAGUUUCUACUGUCAUUCUGUCAGGCAGAGCUCCACAAAUUAAAGUGAAGGUAAAUGCUAACACACUUUCAUACAUAGCAUGAGCAAAGCACAAUUUCAUUAAUUGAGUUAAACACAGUGUGAAACAGCAAAUACAAUGGUGUGUUUGAUGUGGAGGAGUAGUCUAAUAACAAUGCACGUAAUGAAACUGGGAAAUAUAGUAUAAUGUACAUUUCAUUGUUUGCUUCACUGGAAACUAUAAUUGCAUUUCUAAUUAUUUAUUUUUAAUAAAUACAGAGUGAAUUACUUCA
rnacentral:lncRNA from 1 species